UUGCUGAUGGCAGAAUGGCACUCGGAGAUUUGUGCAUUGUGUCUGGUUUCCUACGGGCAGGCUGACCCAGUGCCUCUAGGGACUUAUCAAUAGACCACUCAGAAGAGACAGAGACAGGAGAAAGGAGGAGGGGUGGGGGGGGGGAGAGAGAGAGAGAAUCAAUAUCAAGAAUAGAAGGAGCUCCGAAGCCAUUUUUUUUUUUAAAGAAGUAUCAGGACUUGGGAAGAGGGUGACAAAGAAGGUUUUUCAAAGAGGCAGUGGAGGAGGUUCUAAUAAAUUUGGAAGGAAACAGUUCCCUGUCUUGGGAAAAAAGGAGAACUCCUGGCUGAUUAGCAUUCACACCAGAUGAGGAAACUGAGGCACAGCAAGUUUUGAGUGACUUGUCUAAAUUCACACAGGAAAUCAUUGGCAGAGCCGGGAAGAUAACUUGGGAAUCCUGGAUCACAGGCCCAUGCUCUAACCACUAGGCUACGCUGCCUCUCCAAAUCAGUGAAACAACACAAGGCAUGGCCCUGAAAAAAGAUGCCAGGGAAGUGAAGGCAUCAGUCCACCAACCUUACAGUCUACUUUGUGAAUGGGCUCUAGCAGUUAGGAAGUGUUGUCCAGGAGCAGAAGAUGGAGAAUCUGCCCUUUUGGAUUCUACAAAAGA